AUCAAUAUGAAUAGUAAAACUAUUCAUCUACAUAUUACCCACUGCAACUUUUGGUAUUUGGUUUUGCCCCAAAUUUCCAUGAAUUUCCAUAUGAGCUGUAUUAUAUAAAUAAAGCACUUUAAUUGAGUGUAACAAUCUGAUUCUGCUCAACAACUAUGCAAGGGCAUCUGGAUUGCUCAAAAUCUCAUAAUAGUGGGAAAACCUGCCUGCAGAAUGGUUUUAGAAAAUCCUGUGAGGUCAGAUGCAGGAAAUUUCCAUAAAUGUAGUUUAAUUUUCAUCCUCCAUAGAGCCUCCUCUUUCAGAAAGGGGGUACAUUUGUAGGACACCACCAAUCCAUCCCAGGAAAGGUCUUAAUUGACUCAUUUAUAUGAAAAAUACACAAAAUUCUUUUAUCUAACAACUCUUCCUGAACAAUGUUCUUAACUGUCCUUUAAAACACUUAUACCCAAAGCAAAAUAAUUGAAAGAUAUACACAAAUUUGAAACUUAAUUUAUUAUAUUUAGAGCUGUCUAUUAAUAGCUUCUUAGUAUGUAUAGACCUUAACUGAGACUCAUAGGAGCUCAUCUAGAGAAAAUGAGGUAACUCUUUUUUGAGGUCUUCAUUGUUUUCAUUCAUUACUAGCUCAAAAAAACAUUUUUUAGCAAGCCAUAUCUCAGAAAAACAACAAAGUGCUGAAUGUUUCAUAAGGAUAAUAUUUAAAUAUUCUCUUUAUAUAAGUAGUAACAAAGUGGCCACUGUUAGCCUCAACUGAGAAAAAAAUCAACAUUCUGCUGUCUAGAGAUAGCAAAAUCAUUUCAGAAGUUGUGAAAUUUGAUAAAUCUCAUCAAGAUAAGAACAAGGUAAAUCUGAUUUCUUAGGAAGUCUUCCCGGUAUCUGACCUUGAAGAAUUAGGAAUUUUGUAUCCUGGCUUGGCCCCUUCUUAACUAUAUAACCUUGAGAGUUGCAUAAGGGUGAUCCCGUAUCUGGGAACUUCUGACUAAUCUGACAGCACAAGGCUUUCCUUUCUAUAGGAACAUUACCGGGUCCAGAUUCUCUUAAUAACUAUGUCCACGAGCAUGCCAGAUAGAGCUUAAUGCUUUUCAUAAGACUGAACUUAGAAAAAAAAUGAAAGUCGCAAUGUCAAAUUUCUUCAAACAUUUUAUCUGUCAGGACAGACGAAUGCAGGAUACAAUUCAAGGAAAGCUGGGCAAAUGACAUAUGAUAAAGGAAACGUUUUUCCCAUAGCUUUGGUUAGAUACUUUCAUAAUAUUCCUUUUUUUCCCCCCAAACACUAAACAGUGGGAAAACCUCUGUAAGGCCUCUUCAAGGCUUCUGAUCUUCCUUCAUUUAUUUUUACCUAGAUGUGAGGUAAUAGAGCUUAGUUGUACUGGAGGUAGAAUUAACCCAUGGCAUAAAUGUGUUAACUUGGCCAGAUUAAUGGAUUUAGUUUUCUUUUCAAGUUUAAGUUUGGUGAGGGAGAAUCUGCAUAAUGAAAGCAAUAGGUGGUAUAAUGCAGAUUGGUAUUAAUUAUUAACAAAAGUUAUAUCUAAAAAGGCUAACAUGUACUAUCCAGGUAAGAUGUCCCUGGUAACAGCCUCACUGUUGAUAUUUAAUUUGUUCACACCCAUCAAGUUGGACAAGUCUGUCUAACUACACUCUCUGAUGGGAAGCCUUCUGGGUUGUGGGGUACCCAGAGCUACUUCUAGAACAGCUACAGAAAGUGCUGCAGGGGUGAGCUUCCCAAAGAUGCUAUAGGUCCUCUCUGAACAUCUAUAGCACCUCCAUUUCUGAAUGAGUAGGUGAAUUUGUGUUUCUUUCUUUCUUUUUUGUGCUGAAGAUCAAACAAAUUCAUCUUGCUUCCUGGCAUAUGCUAGGAGCUAUCUACCGCUGAGUAACCCCCCAGGCCUACCUUGCAAAUCCUUGAUACUCAUUCCAAAUGUGGAGCACAAAAACACAAAGGUGUUACUGAAGAUCUGCUCUCCUGAGUUUUUAGUGUCAUCAUUCACUUCAGAACUCUGGAGAUGUAAAAUACAUCAAAUAGGUGACAGGUAACAAAUUCCAUGCAGAGAUGGUUAUACAGUUAAUGAAAAGCCACAAUGAACACUGAAACUACAACUUCUGCAUCAGUUAUUGCUACUUUUAAAAACACGAAAAUCCGAUUCCAGUGAUUUCUAAUGGCAGUUUCCUCCUGAAUCUGUUUAAAACAAAAGUGGAGGCUUUAUUUAAUGAGGCUGCAGGCUCUGCUUAUAGUUAAUACAGAUCACAUUUCAGUCUAAGAGUAGACUGACAAGAAAAUGACCAUUUACUUUCCACAAACAAAAUAUCCUUUGGAUGUUUAGCAAACUCAAAAUACUUAAUAUUUUAUAUCAAGUUUUCUUAAACCCUUAAAAAUCACUACAAAAAACCCACAACAGAAUAGUAUGCAAUAUUAAGUUGUAACACUGAUUAUUACUUUUUAUAUACAGAUGGAGGUUUACCAAAGUAAUCUCUACUCAGAAAAGAUCAACUAGUAAAUAAAAUUAUAAAUGUGUAGUAACUAGAAAGUGAACGACAUUAGACCUUAAGGCAGCAUUGGUUGAGUCUUCUCUGGCAAAGUGUCACAUAUUUCAAUGAUCAGCAAAUUAUUUAGAAGGAAUUAAGUGCUAAAAUAAUGCUUUGAAAAAGAAGUACAACUAUUUUUUAAACUCCUGCAAAAUGAAUUUAAAUUGGAUUUUAAUUUGAGAUUAGAAAGCAUUCCCAGGAACGUAAGGUUCAGUCUUUCCUCCAAUAUAUGAUAAAAAUACUAGAAAUUAUUAUUGAUUAGCAAUCGUAGGGCUCCUUUUUCACUUAUUGUUGUAUUUCUAAUAACUACUGAACAAUAUUUGGAAGAUUCUGUGAGUAUUUAAGUAACAUGUGGUCAGGAUGUUUUACCUGAGUGAAAUGAUUUUAAACUUCACGAACAACCUGUCAUGAUGGUUUGGUUUUGCAACUUACAUCCUUAAUGCUAGGUUUGUUUACUUGGUAGGUUGCCUGAAUCAUACUGUCCCAAGCACUGGUGCCAACCUAAAAUAAUGACAUCUGUGGUGACUGAAACAGUCAGACUUGGAUAAAAAUAUCUCAAAGCUCUUUAUCAAAUGCAUUUGAGGAUUUAUUUCCUUUGUAUUGUGUUUUAUGGGGUUUUCCUAGGAAAGCCUGAACAUUAUUAUUUAUCCUUUAUGUGCUGUAUGCCAAAUAAACAACUGUAUGACAGGAAGAACAAACAAACUCCCAACACGUUCAAAUGAAAAGUGCUGUCAUGUGGUGCUGAGAACUAAGACAGACGUAGGCACUUCUGCUUCAGGUUUUCACAUUUGGAUCACAGGUGGCUUUUCCAAGCCCUUUUCUUUCCCUACAAGAAUUCCUCUCAUAGUACAAACUAUCUAGUUAACUGGGAACCUUGUUCUCACAAACAUUCGUCUUCUUUUAUAAAAUUCUCUCCACUCACAGCAGAGAUGAUCUUCCUGCUAAAGUGAGGAGCCUGCCUCUCUGGCUGAGGCUCAAGGUCCUGCCCUGCAGGACCGUGCUAUCCACCAAGAAAAUGUACAGGAGUGUCCAGUGCAAUUUCCUCUAACACGUCUGUCUCUCUCCUCUCUCCAGUUCUUUAUUGUGAGUUAACUCAACAAAGCGUAUAGUCCUCAAAACAUUCUAAUGCUACUGGCUACUGGGAUUUUUUUUUUUGAUGACUACUGAAACCGUUUCCUUUCUCUUUUUGCAGAAAACCUGUGCUAAAAAGGCACUAGAUAAAAUGAAUUCCCUCACUCUUAUAGAUAAUAGUGAUAGAAAUAAAUUCUCAUAGAAUC